UGCGCCCGCCAGCACUCUGGCGGGCAUGCCUGUCCGAGCGUCAUUUCAACCCUCAGGACCCCUUCGGGGGUGCCUGGCGUUGGGGAUCGGCCCGCCUCCGCGCGGGCCGGCCCCGAAUCCCAGUGGCGGCCCCACAGCGAGCUCCCCUGCGCAGUAGCGAUACCUCGCAGCCGGACGAGCGUGGCGGCCACGCCGUAAAACACCCCACUUCUUCAAGGUUGACCUCGGAUCAGGUAGGAAUACCCGCUGAACUUAAGCAUAUCAAUAAGCGGAGGAAAAGAAACCAACAGGGAUUGCCUCAGUAACGGCGAGUGAAGCGGCAACAGCUCAAAUUUGAAAUCUGGCCCCCCGGCCCGAGUUGUAAUUUGCAGAGGAUGCUUCUGGCGACGCGCCUUCCGAGUUCCCUGGAACGGGACGCCACAGAGGGUGAGAGCCCCGUCCGGUCGUGCGCCUAGCCUGUGUGAAGCUCCUUCGACGAGUCGAGUAGUUUGGGAAUGCUGCUCUAAAUGGGAGGUAUACGUCUUCUAAAGCUAAAUACCGGCCAGAGACCGAUAGCGCACAAGUAGAGUGAUCGAAAGAUGAAAAGCACUUUGAAAAGAGGGUUAAAUAGUACGUGAAAUUGCUGAAAGGGAAGCGCUUAUGACCAGACUUGGGCCCGGUGAAUCACCCAGCGUUCUCGCUGGUGCACUUUGCCGGCCCAGGCCAGCAUCAGUUCGCGCCGGGGGAUAAAGGCUUCGGGAAUGUAGCUCCCUCGGGAGUGUUAUAGACCGUUGCGCAAUACCCUGGGGC
rnacentral:rRNA from 1 species